rnacentral:rRNA from 1 species
AACCUGGUUGAUCCUGCCAGUAGUGUAUGCUUCUCCUAAANNNNNANNNNNNNNGNNNNNCAURUUUGARGAAGCAAUUCUCUCUAGAAUCUCCCNUCGGCUCCGCACACCAGUUGUAAUCUUCUGCAAGUACGGCGUUGGCCGAGUACGCAAGGAAAGGCUUUCGUCACACGGAUAACCCUGGUAAUUCUGAGGCUAAUACGAGCAUGUACGUCUCUCUAGAGUUGAGCUUUGUAUUCAGUUACGGCUUUUCUCGCUAAUAGAGGGGAGUGUGCGCUUUUAGCACGGAGUUUUCCAGGAUCAGUCGCACGCUUUGACUGCGCCAAAAACGAUCGGUUCGCUUCGGCGUUUCGUUCGAGCAGCUCUUGCAAUGUGCUUCUGACCUAUCAACUAGACCACAGUGUAAGGUACGUGCAGUGGUAACAACGGGUACAGAGGAUAAGGGUUCGAUCCUGGAGAGUGGGCCUGAGAGAUUGCUCAUACUUCUAAGGAAGGCAGCAGGCGCGCAAAGUUCCCCUUGUGCAACGCAUGAGGGCGUUAGGAGACAUAUGAAUGCUUGCCUUUUAGGUGAGCAAUUCAAAUGAGUUUGUUGUAAACAGGCUCUCGAGUAACAAUUAGAGGACAGAAUUUCGAGAGAGA